AGGGAGCAUGUUCGCACAAAUGAAACUCAAAGGCAGCGGGCCCUGCAAGUGGUGGGGCAUGUGGUUUAAUUUGAUGCAAAACGAAGAACUUUAUUAGGGCUUGACAUGCCACAAAUUCUCUCGAAAGAGAGGGGUGGCUUUGAGAAUGCAGAUACAGGUGAUGCAUGGUUGUCGUCAACUCGUACAUAAGGUGUUGGGUUAAGUAGCACAACUCUCAUGUGUAGUUUCCAUCAUUAAGUUUGGAAUCAUGAACUGCAAUGAUAAAAUAGAGGAAGAUGAGAUGACUUCAAGUCAUCAUGCUUCUUAUGCCUUGGCAGCACAUGUGCUACAAUAGCGAAACAAAAGGUCAAAAUCCUAUGAGGGAGAGCUAACCCCAGAAACACGUCCUCACUCAGGUUGCAACUAUUAUUCUGGGUACAAAAUUUGUAUAUAUAACAAUAUGAACUUCAACACUAAGUUCAAGAACUACAGUGAAGUUCAACA
rnacentral:ncRNA from 1 species